ACUCAGGUGUUGUUGGGUAGGGGAGCGUUCUGUAAGCCUGCGAAGGUGGCCUGUGAGGGUUGCUGGAGGUAUCAGAAGUGCGAAUGCUGACAUAAGUAACGAUAAAGCGGGUGAAAAGCCCGCUCGCCGGAAGACCAAGGGUUCCUGUCCAACGUUAAUCGGGGCAGGGUGAGUCGACCCCUAAGGCGAGGCCGAAAGGCGUAGUCGAUGGGAAACGGGUUAAUAUUCCCGUACUUGGUGUUACUGCGAAGGGGGGACGGAGAAGGCUAUGUUGGCCGGGCGACGGUUGUCCCGGUUUAAGCGUGUAGGUGUGUGUUCCAGGUAAAUCCGGUUCACUUUAACACUGAGGCGUGACGACGAGGCACUACGGUGCUGAAGCAACAAAUGCCCUGCUUCCAGGAAAAGCCUCUAAGCAUCAGGUAACAUCAAAUCGUACCCCAAACCGACACAGGUGGUCAGGUAGAGAAUACCAAGGCGCUUGAGAGAACUCGGGUGAAGGAACUAGGCAAAAUGGUGCCGUAACUUCGGGAGAAGGCACGCUGACACGUAGGUGAAGUGAUUUACUCA
rnacentral:rRNA from 1 species